UAGAGUUUGAUCAUGGCUCAGGACGAACGCUGGCGGCGUGCCUAAUACAUGCAAGUCGAGCGCGGGAAGCAAACAGAUCUCCUUCGGGAGUGACGUUUGUGGAACGAGCGGCGGAUGGGUGAGUAUCACGUGGGCAACCUGCCUGUAAGAUCGGGAUAACUCGCGGAAACGUGAGCUAAUACCGGAUGAAGUCUUACGCCACCUGGCGUAAGGAUGAAAGAUGGCCUUUGUGCUAUCACUUACAGAUGGGCCCGCGGCGCAUUAGCUAGUUGGUGGGGUAAUGGCCUACCAAGGCGACGAUGCGUAGCCGACCUGAGAGGGUGAUCGGCCACACUGGGACUGAGACACGGCCCAGACUCCUACGGGAGGCAGCAGUAGGGAAUCUUCCGCAAUGGACGAAAGUCUGACGGAGCAACGCCGCGUGAGUGAUGAAGGUCUUCGGAUCGUAAAACUCUGUUGUCAGGGAAGAACAAGUGACGUUCGAAUAGGGCGUGACCUUGACGGUACCUGACCAGAAAGCCCCGGCUAACUACGUGCCAGCAGCCGCGGUAAUACGUAGGGGGCAAGCGUUGUCCGGAAUUAUUGGGCGUAAAGCGCGCGCAGGCGGUCCUUUAAGUCUGAUGUGAAAGCCCACGGCUUAACCGUGGAGGGUCAUUGGAAACUGAGGGACUUGAGUACAGAAGAGGAGAGUGGAAUUCCACGUGUAGCGGUGAAAUGCGUAGAGAUGUGGAGGAACACCAGUGGCGAAGGCGACUCUCUGGUCUGUAACUGACGCUGAGGUGCGAAAGCGUGGGUAGCAAACAGGAUUAGAUACCCUGGUAGUCC
rnacentral:rRNA from 1 species